rnacentral:rRNA from 1 species
AACGAACGCUGGCGGCAUGCCUAACACAUGCAAGUCGAACGAGAACUUCGGGACUUGUGGCGCCCGGGUUCGUCACGCGUGGGAACCUUCCCUUAGGUUCGGCAUACCUACUCGACAGGGAUGCUAAUACCGGAUAAUGUCUUCGGCCCAAAGAUUUAUCGCCUUUGUUGGGGCCCGCGUUGGAUUCGCUGGUUGGGAGGGUAAAAGGAUAUCAAGGCGCCGAUCAAUAAGUUGUCUGAGAGGCUGGUCAGCGACACCUGGAGUAGGACACGGUCCAGAAUCCUACGGGAUGCAGGAGUGGCUAAUGUUGCAAAGUGGGGUGAAUCCUGAUCCUGCAAUGCCCGGUGAAUUAUGAAGGCCUGGGGGUUGUAAAGCGCUUUUACCCGGGAUGAUAAUGACGGUACCGGGAGAAUAAGCCCCGGCUAACUCCGUG